rnacentral:rRNA from 1 species
AACGCUAGCUACAGGCUUAACACAUGCAAGUCGCGGGGUAACGAGAGGGAAGCUUGCUUUCCUUGUCGACGACCGGCGCACGGGUGAGUAACGCGUAUCCAACCUGCCCAUUACCACGGGAUACCCCGUCGAAAGGCGGCCUAAUACCGUAUGCAGUCGUCAGAUGACAUCAGAGGACGACGAAAGGAUUGGCGGUAAUGGAUGGGGAUGCGUCUGAUUAGGUAGUUGGAGGGGUAACGGCCCACCAAGCCAUCGAUCAGUAGGGGUUCUGAGAGGAAGGUCCCCCACAUUGGAACUGAGACACGGUCCAAACUCCUACGGGAGGCAGCAGUGAGGAAUAUUGGUCAAUGGGCGCGAGCCUGAACCAGCCAAGUAGCGUGAGGGACGACGGCCCUAUGGGUUGUAAACCUCUUUUAUGCGGGAAUAAAAUGUUUGACGUGUCAUUCAUUGUAGGUACCGCAAGAAUAAGGACCGGCUAAUUCCGUGCCAGCAGCCGCGGUAAUACGGAAGGUCCAGGCGUUAUCCGGAUUUAUUGGGUUUAAAGGGAGCGUAGGCCGUCUGUUAAGCGUGUUGUGAAAUGUAGAUGCUCAACAUCUGAAUUGCAGCGCGAACUGGCAGACUUGAGUGUGCGCAACGUAGGCGGAAUUCGUGGUGUAGCGGUGAAAUGCUUAGAUAUCACGAAGAACUCCGAUUG